rnacentral:rRNA from 1 species
AACGCGAAGAACCUUACCAGGGUUUGACAUGCAACUGCACCACCCGUUAUGGGGUGUCCCGCAAGGGCGGUUGCACAGGUGCUGCAUGGCUGUCGUCAGCUCGUGUCGUGAGAUGUUGGGUUCAGUCCCGCAACGAGCGCAACCCCUGCCGUUAGUUGCAUGAUCUAGCGGGACCGCCGCGAUCAACGCGGAGGAAGGCGGGGAUGACGUCAAGUCAGCACGGCCCUUACACCCUGGGCUACACACACGCUACAAUGGUCGGGACAACGGGCCGCCAACCCGCGAGGGGGAGCCAAUCCCAUCAAAACCGGCCUCAGUUCAGAUUGCAGGCUGCAACUCGCCUGCAUGAAGAUGGAGUUGCUAGUAACCGUGGGUCAGCACACCACGGUGAAUACGUUCCCGGGCCUUGUA